rnacentral:rRNA from 1 species
CCUUUGACGUUAGCGGCGGACGGGUGAGUAACACGUGGGUAACCUACCUAUAAUACUGGGAUAACUUCGGGAAACCGGAGCUAAUACCGGAUAAUAUUUCGAACCGCAUGGUUCGAUAGUGAAAGGUGGUUUUGCUAUCACUUAUAGAUGGACCCGCGCCGUAUUAGCUAGUUGGUAAGGUAACGGCUUACCAAGGCGACGAUACGUAGCCGACCUGAGAGGGUGAUCGGCCACACUGGAACUGAGACACGGUCCAGACUCCUACGGGAGGCAGCAGCG